CUACGGGCCGCUGCAGUGAGGAAUAUUGGUCAAUGGGCGAAAGCCUGAACCAGCCAUCCCGCGUGUAGGAUGACAGCCCUAUGGGUUGUAAACUACUUUUAUACUCCACGAAACCUACGCUCGUGAGCGUAGCUGACGGUAGAGUAAGAAUAAGCAUCGGCUAACCCGUGCCAGCAGCCGCGGUAAUACGGAGGAUGCAGGCGUUAUCCGGAUUUAUUGGGUUUAAAGGGUGCGUAGGCGGAAUUAUAAGUCAGUGGUGAAAUCCUACAGCUUAACUGUAGAACUGCCAUUGAUACUGUAAGUCUUGAGUAUAUUUGAGGUAGGCGGAACGUGUCAUGUAGCGGUGAAAUGCUUAGAUAUGACACAGAACACCAAUUGCGUAGGCAGCUUACUAAAUUAUUACUGACGCUGAGGCACGAAAGCGUGGGGAGCGAACAGGAUUAGAUACCCGGGUAGUC
rnacentral:rRNA from 1 species